rnacentral:rRNA from 1 species
UACGAAGGGGGCUAGCGUUGCUCGGAAUCACUGGGCGUAAAGGGUGCGUAGGCGGGUCUUUAAGUCAGGGGUGAAAUCCUGGAGCUCAACUCCAGAACUGCCUUUGAUACUGAAGAUCUUGAGUUCGGGAGAGGUGAGUGGAACUGGCGAGUGUAGAGGUGAAAUUCGUAGAUAUUCGCAAGAACACCAGUGGCGAAGGCGGCUCACUGGCCCGAUACUGACGCUGAGGCACGAAAGCGUGGGGAGCAACAGGAUAGAUACCCCG